ensembl:lncRNA
UGGCUCUUCGGGAGGCGCUGAGAUUCCGGGCCCGGCGGCCGCGGGGAGCGGGUGCCAGUUAGGAACGGGGUUUCUGAUCUCCUCGUUUGCGUUUUGGGGGUUCUUUUUGUUCAUAGCAGCAGGUGCAACUUUUUGUCUUUUCUUAAAAAAACAAAACAAAACAUUGAUUUUCAUUUUCUCGUGGACUCGAAAAAGCGAGCCGGCUUGGAGGAAGUCCGCCCAGCGAUCCGAGUGCGCAUUGAUCAGUGUCGAGAGAAAAAAAAGCUACAUAAAUAUAUAUUAUCCACGACGCCGCCAAGCUCUCCAGCGCCGGAGGAGGCCCCGAGGUUCGCUGCCCCAGGCCCGGAGUCCAGCCAGGACACCUCUCCCUGACGAUCCCGAGCCCAACCCUAACAGCAAGUACAGUUCUGAGAAUUGUGGAACUUCAUCCUUUCAGUUUAAGACACUCCUGCCUUUGCUUGAUGGAAUCUUGUCAACAGAAAAAGGACAGGCCUGGGAAGACCCAGCUAUCUUGUUAGAAAGACCAAAGUCAUCCCAAGUGAAAAGCCCCAGAACAGCAAACGGCAACAGAUGGUUAAAUAUCUUCCUGGCCGAGGAGUUCCACAUCCACACGAGGGAAAACAGAAGACGAUCCUGAGCUUUAAUUAGCAGUCUCCUGCCACCCAGAGUGCACAGUUGAAGGGCUCUCCUGUCCUGUCCUGAGCCCUCAGCAGGCCUGGCCAGGAGAGUGAACCCUGGAGGGAGGAAGAGAAUUGGAGGUGGUCCGCAGCGUGUUUGUGGGAAACCCAGGGACUCCCCAGAAGGGACUGGCUGCCUCCUGGAGCUCAGUCGUGUCCAACUUUUGCGACCCCAUGGACUGCAGCCCAUCAGGCUCCUCUGUCAAUGGGAUUCUCCAGACUGACUCUGCACUUGGCUGUAUGCUUUGCUUCAGUCAAUGGGGCAUUACCAAAUGUGACACAGAGACCUGAGAAGCAAUUGCACAUUGAAGUUGUCUUCUACUGCUCUUGGAACCCUCAGCCAGCAUAAUGUCAAUGAACAGGACAAGUCUGCUGGAGACAUGUGGCCCAGUGGCUCCAGCCACCCCACCUUACAGCUACCACUGACUGCCAGACAUAUGGAUGAGGCCGUCCUGGACCAAGGAGUCCUCAUCCCACCUGUGAGCUUUAUCAGCCACAGAAGUGAUCCCAGGGAGACCAGCAGAAGAACCACCUUGCUGAGC